UCCCCCUUUUCUCCAGUCCCCACGCCCGCGCGAGCGCUACCUCUCACCGCCUGCGCCGCCGCCUUCUCCCCCCAAGCUUCGGCUCCACCAAGGUAGCCCGGCCGAUUCUCGCAGCCCACUGAAAGCCGGCACGCCGACGGCCUUCGUCCUCUCGCGCCGGCGCGUCGCCGCGAUCCCCGCCGGCACGGGCGCCUAUUCCCCCCUUGCUCCUGCUCCCCGCUCGCGCCGCCGUUGCCGCGCGCCUCCAUGAACUUCUCCGACGACUGGCGCUUCCUCUUCCCCGUCUCCUCCGUGUUCAACCCGCCGUCCCUCGCCCCGCCGGACGCCUCCCACGGGCCCCUCUUCUUCACCCCUCUCCCGCCGCCCGCCCCGCUCCUCUCCCUCCCCUUCCCCUUCCCUCCGCCCCUGCACGCCUCCACCACCGGUGACCUCCGCCACGCCCUCCGCUACAUCGUCGGCUCCACCUCCUUCCUCCCCUACUCCGAUCUCAAGUCCCUCUCGGGACCCCUCCUCGCCGCGCCGUCGCCGCCGUUCCCACCGCCUUCCAAUCUUCUCGCCGUCGUCCCCUCCCGCUCCUCAAGCUCUCUCGUCCUCUUUUUCCCGUACGGCGAAAAUGCGGAGAAGAUUGCUUUCGCUCUUGUGAACUCGCCCGUUGCGAGCUCUGCGCCAGUUUCGCCCUUAGUUCAGAGUGAUGGGUUCAAGCACCCUGGGCACCGCAUACAGCAGCUUGCUGCUAUUCCUGCCCAGUCGUCCUGGUCAUCGGAGCCGGAUGACAGCUGUGUCGAGGGUUUCCUGCUUGCUGCGACAUUGUACUCAGUGAAUUGGUUCAGGGUCGAGUCACGCGAUUCGGGUUCCCCGGUGCUUGUACCGGUGGCCAAGCAGGGGUUUGAUGCUGCUGUCGUGCACGCGUGCUGGAGCAGGCAUUUUCCAUCACAAUGUGCGGUGCUGCUGGAGAAUGGGGAGUUGUGUUGGUUUGAUCUGAAUACACGACUUGGAGGAAAGACGAGCGUUGGUUUUGGCGGCAAUGGUGAAGACUGGGGGGACUGGCUAAGCUGUGCGUAUGGAGCGCAACCGUGGAUGGUGAUAGUCGCAAGCACAAAAGCCGUCCUUUUGGUUGAUUUGAGCUUUGUAGAUCAUGGUGACAAAUACGUCGUGGAAAACGAGCCACACAAGUUUCAGUACAAGGUUCUAGCAAAAGUUGGGUUGCCAGGGUUAUUUGAAACUGAGCCUUUUGACAGGACUGAGCAUUAUAUUGCAUUCUGCAAGGCUGGGUUCGAUGAUUCCCAUAUAUCAGUAGUGACAGAGCGUCACUUGAUUCUCCUUGAUGUGACAAAGCCGUUGGAACCUGUGUUGGCUUGGCAGCAUGGGCUUGAGAACCCAAAUCAUGUUGCCAUGUUUCGGCUAUCUGAAUUGAGACCUUCCAAGGAAUAUGAAUGGGCUUCAAAUUCAGGUUUUGCCAUUUUGGUUGGUUCGUUCCAGAAUGGGGAGUUCAGUUUGUUCUGUUACGGGCCUAAGGAGCAAGGUUGUCCAGAUAAUUCUCAUUUAUACGCUUGGGAUAUUCCUUCGAGGCUUUCUCUGACAGGUCAGUAUUGUGGCUGCAGCAAUGAAAUCAUGAAAGAGAUAUUCUCAACGCCUGUUUCAGUAUAUGAUGGGUAUGCUUCCCAACACCGCGCUAAGUCCAUUGUUGGCUACUAUGUGCUUCCAGAUGACCUCUCAAUAUCGGAGCCAACAUCUGCCAGCUUUGCCUUGAUCCGGCUAACAGCAUUGGGGAAGUUGGAAAUGCAACAGUAUCGUGCAUCUCGAGGUCUGCAUGAUGAAAUUGACACCCCAUGUGAUGAAUCAGAACAUGCAUCCAUGGAUAGUAGUUCAUCCAUUUUGAUUGACACUCAGGGUGAAAAUGUCUCCACCAAAUAUCGAUUCUUGAAGUUGCAUUUUCUAUAUGAACAUCUGAAGGGCAAUCUAUGCAGUGCGUUGGCGAAGCAUGGUACUGGUGUUAACGGAGACAGAGAUCAAAUUAUUAUUAGUGAAGACGUGUUGGCAUUUGCAGAGGAUAACUCCAGAUCCAGCUCGCUGCCAGUUUCAGAUUUCCUAUGUAAUGCUAGCAUCCCCAUGAAUGUUUUCGAAAUUGCAUGUCAGAGCAUAUUGAACAGUCUACCUUCAAAUAUUCUUCAUGUCUCCCUUUCUAAAUACAAGGACAUGCUAAAAUGCGAUACAAAAGAAGGCUUAGUAGAAUAUUUAAAAGUUCCUAGCUGUUCGCCACACAAUGAACUUCGGCCUUUCCUGUUAGCGAAACCAUCAAGCACAUGUGAGAAGGUGACUAGCAAAGCGGUAUCUCAAAAUGCUCUUGUUGGGCCAGUGCUCCCUGUGCAUGUCCUACUUGCAAUGGAAGAGAUGAACAGGGGCAUAGACAGCCCUUCGGAAAGAGAAACUGCAGAAACUGACUUAGUACGCCAUCGAUGUAGUGAGGUGCUUGAAGCCUUUGUUCCUGAAGUAUCCAUUGCUGAGUCCGACAACUUUGAUGGAUGGUUCUCCUCACAAAAGUUGAAUGACAAGAAGUCAUAUCUUGUUUACGAGACUCGGAUUGAAAAUAAGUUUACUCUUGAUAAAACUGUUAUAAAGAAGGAAAAUGAAGAGCAAAAGGCCGCUGAUCGUACAUCUUUUGAAACGUCUGCAGCACCAUACAAGGAUGAGAACUUCAUGACAUUUGUUUGUGGAAAAGCUGGGACACUUGAUUCUGGGCCUGAACAAACCACAUCUGAUUUGUUUGAUUUCACCCCAGUGAGGAUGGAUUUUGCUUCCACAGAUCUAGACAUUCAACCUGCCGAGGAAGAAGUGUACAGAUGCUUGAAGAAACAAUUUUUAAGAUGGCAAAAUAAUUUCAAGCCAUACCAAGAUUUUUGUAGCUCAUAUAAAAUACAAAAGCCAUCAUAAUGGCCUGCAGUGCUCCAUUCAGUUGUAGCAGGUAUUGUACAUUUCCAUGUGAUGACAUGCAAAUUUGUUGAGAAAAGGACAGACUAGUAAUAUAUACGCUCUCAGGUGCUUGGCCUGGUAUAGACAUACAGUGCUGUUUGCAUAUUUCAAACACUUCUUGGGAGUAAGAUGCGGUGGGCGGCGCUGUAAAUUAUGAAGGGGUAGGAUUCGAAUAACUUGGUUUAAAAUAGUAUACUAUUUUGUUAAGCUUUCUGCCAUGUUAUUUUUGACAAUGUGUAUGUUAAGAUACAAUUUUGUAACUGACAAGGAUUGCAAUAGACCUCCUUUUUAAUUACAGUUUUUAGCCUUCACUUUGACUGUUAGCACAACUCAUAUGACCCUGAGAAAAUUUGCAGCCAUCGCUUUGUUCCUUUGGAGUUUGAACACAUGCUUAUAUUCAGAUACUGUGUACCAUUAACCAGGGCCGUAGUUAACCUGUUUUAUUUUCAGUGCUCAAACAUUUUCUUUUGUUUUUUACAGCACCUAUUAUAUUGACAGGAUUUGCCACCUUGAGGUGCAUUUAACAGGAAUUUCACGCACUUGAUGUUAAGCAUUGGUGCGCCAUUUAUAGACCGUGUAGCAAGGCAGCAAGAGUCCAAGCCAUAUUGGGGCAUUACAUAGGCGACGAGGAGGGAGUGAGAUUGCAUCAAAAGUUCAACAUUUUGCUGAGUGACAACUACGAGCAUUAGCGCGUGCGUUCUUUUCUUUUCUUCUUUGUUGAGAGAAAGUGUGGCAGUUGUAACCUAACCAGAUACGUGCACUCAUAAAAAAAACUGUCUCACAAGAGUUUUUCUUCAUUUCAGUUGAGCCAAAACCUGCCAUUUGGGCAAAGUUUUUUGGCUGAAAUCUUAGUUUGCUACGGGCUGCAACGAUAGUGGCGUGUUUGCCUGUUGAGCUGUGCAGUAAAGUGUACAUAUUUUCUCUUGAGCAUGGACCAUUGUAUGUCAUGAUUCUGAAGCUCCAUGCUGAUGCAUGAAAGCAAAUCCAGUCACACGAUGGCCUCGUGAUUAAUGGUAUUUAUGUUGUACUUUCGCA